UGGGGAAUAUUGCACAAUGGGGGAAACCCUGAUGCAGCAACGCCGCGUGAGUGAUGACGGCCUUCGGGUUGUAAAGCUCUGUCUUUGGGGACGAUAAUGACGGUACCCAAGGAGGAAGCCACGGCUAACUACGUGCCAGCAGCCGCGGUAAUACGUAGGUGGCAAGCGUUGUCCGGAUUUACUGGGCGUAAAGGGAGCGUAGGCGGAUUUUUAAGUGGGAUGUGAAAUACCCGGGCUCAACCUGGGUGCUGCAUUCCAAACUGGAAAUCUAGAGUGCAGGAGGGGAAAGUGGAAUUCCUAGUGUAGCGGUGAAAUGCGUAGAGAUUAGGAAGAACACCAGUGGCGAAGGCGACUUUCUGGACUGUAACUGACGCUGAGGCUCGAAAGCGUGGGGAGCAAACA
rnacentral:rRNA from 1 species